rnacentral:rRNA from 1 species
ACGAACGCUGGCGGCGUGCCUAAUACAUGCAAGUCGAGCGGACCGACGGGAGCUUGCUCCCUUGGGUCAGCGGCGGACGGGUGAGUAACACGUGGGUAACCUGCCUGUAAGACUGGGAUAACUCCGGGAAACCGGGGCUAAUACCGGAUGCUUGAUUGAACCGCAUGGUUCAAUCAUAAAAAGUGGCUUUUAGCUACCACUUGCAGAUGGCCCCGCGGCGCAUUAGCUAGUUGGUGAGGUAACGGCUCACCAAGGCGACGAUGCGUAGCCGACCUGAGAGGGUGAUCGGCAACACUGGGACUGAGACACGGCCCAGACCCCUACGGGAGGCAGCAGUAGGGAAUCUUCCGCAAUGGACGAAAGUCUGACGGAGCAACGCCGCGUGAGUGAUGAAGGUUUUCGGAUCGUAAAACUCUGUUGUUAGGGAAGAACAAGUACCGUUCGAAUAGGGCGGUACCUUGACGGUACCUAACCAGAAAGCCACGGCUAACUACGUGCCAGCAGCCGCCGUAA